CCCUUGAAGUCUAUCCACAGUCCUCAAAGGGACCAUGGACUUCAGGUUAAGAAUCUCUGGUUUAGAUGGUUUCAAAGUUUCCUUCCAGGUUUGAUGCUCUCCAUUCUCAAUAAAUACAACAAAAUUUUAUUCUAUAUUCUAAGGUACCUUCCAAAUCUAACACUUUAGAGUCAACAUUCAAAGAUUCCUUCUGCCUCUUAGAUUCUAGGUCUUAAGGUCUCCCUAGGCCUCAUAUUCUAUUUUGUCUAACACUGCUCCAAACCCCCACCAGGUCUAAGUUCCAACAUUUCUGUGAUCAUAUGUCAAUUAGGGCUAUAUUUCACAGCAACUUUUCUUUGCCCUGAUUGAAAAAGUUCAACAACUGAAGUCCUGGGUGGUUAGACUUGAUUUGAGCAGCUGGAAAAGUGUUUCUGUCCACCUCAUUCAAACAGCAAAGUGUUAAUGAGAAAAGAUGAGGAGAGGCGACUGGGCCUGGGCCGCCAGCUCACACGGCAGCCAACAAUCCUCUUUGAGAAGCAUCAUGAAUGUAAAUUUUGAAGGAGACGCCAAGGUCCACAUCUGGGGGCCUGCCUUGGGAAAGUCCACACUGAGAUUUAUGGUAGAAGGCUGUAACGGGUUAUGCAAUCUCUCAAAGAUCAUUUCACUCACCACAAACUUUCAGGACAUAUUCAGCCACAAGAUGAAGUAUCGUUUGAUGAUGGCGUUGAAACUGAAUGUUUCAAUACUGCCCAUUUGGAUUUGAACAGGGCUGCAUUCUCAGCUCCAGUCUCCUCUAUAGCCCAAGCUAUAAACUGGGCCAUUAAUUUAACCACAGAAAAAUGUCAAGAUUUCAGACUCGGAUAGAUUAGGAACAAAUUUUUCAUCAGACAAGCUGUUCUCUUCUCAGAGGAUCCCAGUGCCUCAUUAUGCACCAGGUGAUGAGGAAACUGAGGCCCACAGCAAGGAAGUGAUGAAUAAUGUGGCAUAGAGAAUUAGAGCCAGACCUAGAAGCCAGAUCUCCUAAUUCCCAGGCCAGACUUACUCCACAUUUCCUGGGAGAAAUCCUCCAGUACAAACUUUCCAGCUGUUCUCAAGUUACCAUCUUAUUGGAGAUACUGCUUUCAUAUGCACGUCUGAAAGGAAGGUGCCACAGAGACCCUGGAUUGGAUCACCAGAAGAAAUGAUUGGCUCACUUGAAGAAAGGCAGUCUGUAGCAACAACUUCAGAGAGCUGCUGGGGACAGAGAGGCCUCCAAGGUGGCAUGGGCAGAUCAGUGACAAGGCUAUAAUUUGCUCUGAAAGACAGGUGACCUAAUUUCUAAAUCCUAUCUCCUCCCAGAAUCUCUCUCCCCAAUAAAAAGAGAGAGAGAGAGAGAGAGAGAGAGAGAGAGAGAGAGAGAGAGAGAGAGAGAGAGAGAAGAAAAAUAUGGUUCUUGUUACAAAAAGGCAUAGUCAGUUUUCUUCAGAGCCUCCCAAACACUGAGCUAGCAAUGGUAAUCGUCUACAUGUACAUCACUGGAAAGUAUACUGCCAAGUUUAAGAAGUGCUGCUAGACUAGGAAGAUGAAGACAGACAAAAGUAAGAAAUCUCCUCAGAGGAGAGAUUGCCUAAGGAAACCAACAGAGGGGAGACCCUGGAAGAACAAUGGAUAGGCUCACUUCUUCUCCUGCCUAGGAGUGUAAGGCACGAGAGAAGGAGCAGCCCAUGCUUGAAAGGACACCCAGUCAAGUGGUGACUUCUGGAGGCAUCCAGACCAUCUGUUGACCAGCAGAAGAAGGAAAGAGAGGAGUUUGUUCAUAGGAGAACAAGGGUUCUUAGGGGACCCAAUGGUAUGGGAAGAAUAAGAUUAGGUCUGUUGAAGCGAGAUGAAAGUUUGGAGAGAGAGAGCAAGGGAAAAGGAUUUUCCCUUUUUUCAGAAAGCCACUGUGAAUCACAAGAAUCAAGGAUGCUCCCAGGAAGUGAGAGUUUGCCAGUCAUUGGCUGGGACUAGGAGAGCUGGUCAUCAGUUUCUGCAGUUUGUUAUUCAAAACAAGAAGGACCAAAGCAUCAUGGACUUAGUGAUGCAACAGAUCCUAAGUGCCAGCAAAUCUAACACCUUCAUUUUGCAAAUGAGAAAACUGAAAUCAAGAGAAUAGA